CGUCAAAUCAUCAUGCCCCUUAUGACCUGGGCUACACACGUGCUACAAUGGUUGGUACAACGAGUUGCGAGUCGGUGACGGCGAGCUAAUCUCUUAAAGCCAAUCUCAGUUCGGAUUGUAGGCUGCAACUCGCCUACAUGAAGUCGGAAUCGCUAGUAAUCGCGGAUCAGCACGCCGCGGUGAAUACGUUCCCGGGCCUU
rnacentral:rRNA from 1 species